GGAGAGUCUCCAUCCAGCAGGAUCUCUGUCUCAGAGAAUCCAUCAACCACUCCUCCUCCUUACCAGUAUCUUCCCUACGUGCUCCUGUCUCUUCCAUUUUUCGUUGUUGUGGUUCUGCUGCUGGUUCUGGUUCUGAUCGUGAGACGAUGUGUUCAGAGAAAGUCUGAGGGUGAUCCAGAGGGUGGAGAGAACAACAUUACUUACAGCGACGUUAACAAUUCUCAUCAUCGACGACAGAAAAAC